CCUUGUCUGAAAAAAAAAGAGAUCCCCAAUCUCCAUUUCCCAGCUCUAACCCUAGACACAGACCGCCCGUGCGCUGCCGCUGCGGCGGAAGAGGAGCCUCUGCCGGCGAAGCGAACCUCGCGACUCGCGGGCUCCUGCGUGUUUGGUGGCUUGCAGGUCGACGCGGUGGCGAAGGAUUUGGUACCCAGGCUUCCUCAAGAGACUAGAUUGCCAUGGUUUCUGAGGAAACCAAACCAAAGAAGCAAAGAGACGAGGAAUGCAUUAUAAACUGUCUCCCAGGAGAACUCAUUGAGCGGAUAUUUUUGAAGCUUCCAGUGAGCACUUUGUUGAGGUGCACUGGUGUUUGCGAGCAAUGGCACAAAAUCAUCCGAGAUCCCCAGUUUGUCACAUCACACCUCCAGCAUGCAUCCCAUUAUGCCCUUCUGUUCUUCCCACAAGAGUCGGUCUCACGCGAGCCCCAUCCUGCUGAUGCUAUCCUGAUUGAUGAAGCCUCGUCGCUGUCAACAUAUGCAGUGCCAGUGAUUGGGCCUGAUGAUUUCCUUUGUGGUUCAUGCAAUGGGCUUCUUUGCUUAUACACAAAGUCAUCAACACUCAAGAUAGCUAAUCUUGCAACCGGUGAAUUCCUGCAUCUUGAGAAACCUGUAAAGAAUUUGAGGGGUGAUCACUUCUUGUUCUACAACUUUGGGUUUCACCCAUUGACAAAAGAAUACAAGAUUACACACUUCCUUGGUGAUUUCAUCGAGGGUCGCCCUUGCCUGCGUAAUAAUAACAGAUUCAGCGUCAUUCAAGUUUACACGCUUGGUGAUGAGAAAUGGAGGGAUAUCAAAACUCCAGAAGCCCUAAGCUUAAACUGUGUAAAAAACUCUGGAGCGGUCACUAUUGACGGAACACUGUAUUGGCUAAUUGAAGACAUGGUAGCCAGCUGGCAGCAUGCAGUUAUGACCUUCGAUCUCUGUGGAGAAAGUUUUGCACAGAUACAACUGCCAGCAACUAAACCUGAAGAUUUUGCCGCUGGUGGUUCUCGUCGGUACUGGAUCAGAGAGAUGGAUGGCAAGGUAUGUGUAGCGACUGCUCAAACCUGUCCUUCUCUGCCCAGAAGGCUUGUUGGUAAGCUGCAGAUCUGGGAACUUGAGAACAAAACAGAGCAAAGGUGGAUCCAGAAGUACAAUAUUCAGUACUCGCCAGAUUACAUUCCGGGUCCAAAUUUGGUUCAUGGGGAUAAGAUCAUACUGCAACGUCGUGACGGCAACCUAUAUUCCUAUGAGUUGCUCGGGGAGAACUUCAAUACUAAACUGUGUAAGAUGGCAAAGCUGUUAGAUUUCAGUCCCUACAAGCCUGAGAACAUGCAAUCCUAUAUCUGUGUGAAGUCACUUGUACGUUUAGAUGUAUACAAGAAGACUGCCAUUGCGCGUAGGCCAAAACAGCGGGAAGGCUGGGAAUUGAAGAAGUGGGAGGCGUGGGAGCAUGAGCUCUCUGAGAAUGAAAGAAUGUGGAGCGACACUCACCGAGAUGAGCACAAGGAAACUGUCCGUGCGCAACGCUAUCGCAUGAUGAUCAAUAAUCUGCUGCCGCAUAUAUUGGAUGAUACGGUUCGACAGGAAAUCAGCAUGAACAUCAAUCAAAUAUCUCCAAACUUUCCAGAUCAGCAGCCAAGGCCCAUCCGGCGGCUUAAUUGGGUGGCGCAGAAGCGGGAUAUGCAAAAUUUAAAUGCUCGUAUGAAGAAAUAUAAUACUAUUAUGAAGGCUACGGAUGAGGUAACAAGUAGUAUCAUUAGUAUGAUGGGUAGUGCUAUAGAAGAUCAGAAGCGUGCUUCGAGUUCAAAUGCUGGCAUUUCUUCUCAAGAUCUCAGUGAGGGCGAUGAUGUGAAGACUUUGAUACCUGAGAGCCUACCGUGACAUCUUCUCAGCUCACUCAGGCUGUUGUUCAACGCUGUUUCUUUUUACCCCCGAGGGAUUGUUUAGCUCCCUCUCCUGUAAAACUGUGAUUUCCUUUUGUUUUUGUGGGAAGUAAAACUGUAGAACUGUGAUUUCUUCAGUAUUCUAUGUGCUGUUAGAUGGAGGUUGAACUUGAACCCCAAGCCGUAUGUAUAACCGGCGCAGCUCCUACCUUUGUACUCCCU
rnacentral:rRNA from 1 species